UGAACGCUGGCGGCGUGCCUAAUACAUGCAAGUCGAGCGAACGGACGCGAAGCUUGCUUUUCUGAUGUUAGCGGCGGACGGGUGAGUAACACGUGGAUAACCUACCUAUAAGACUGGGAUAACUUCGGGAAACCGGAGCUAAUACCGGAUAAUAUUUUGAACCGCAUGGUUCAAAAGUGAAAGACGGUCUUGCUGUCACUUAUAGAUGGAUCCGCGCUGCAUUAGCUAGUUGGUAAGGUAACGGCUUACCAAGGCAACGAUGCAUAGCCGACCUGAGAGGGUGAUCGGCCACACUGGAACUGAGACACGGUCCAGACUCCUACGGGAGGCAGCAGUAGGGAAUCUUCCGCAAAGGGCGAAAGCCUGACGGAGCAACGCCGCGUGAGUGAUGAAGGUCUUCGGAUCGUAAAACUCUGUUAUUAGGGAAGAACAUAUGUGUAAGUAACUGUGCACAUCUUGACGGUACCUAAUCAGAAAGCCACGGCUAACUACGUG
rnacentral:rRNA from 1 species